ensembl:lncRNA
CAUAAGCCUCCCCUCCGUCCAUUAGGUUGUAGCUGCAGAAGCCUCCUAUUGCUGCUUGUCUGAGCUACAAAAAGUGUUGCUGCUUUUUCUUCUUCUUUGAUUUGUUUUGGGUUUCGUAGCUUUACUUGUUUUUGAGACGGGAGUGUCCAAUCCAGUAACAGGCUGGGCACUAAAGCUUCCGACUCCCAGUUCUUUUCUUUUUUUGUUUUGUUUUAUUUUUCUUUUAUUUUUUGUCGUCACUCCACCAAAGUCCACAUAAAAAAAAGGAAAAAAAGGGUUACAUCAGUCAACAGGACGAUGGAGGAAGCAUCUCUACUACGUCUAAACUGUAAGCAGUAAAUUUCUUAGUUUUAAAUGUUGAAUGUUUACUGUUUAAUAAUAAGUGAUGUAGACACGAACAAGAUGUCAGGCUCCCAGCUGCUUUCUAUAAAGAUGGCUCCCUCAUCAGGAAGCAGCCUACAGGUCACAUGACCAUCCAGCAUGUUUCCAGGUCUGAUGAAGGCCUCUACAAGUGUGACAUCAGCGGUCAUGGAGAGUCUCCAUCCAGCUGGAUCACUGUCACAGGGGAACACACCACCACACCUCCACCUGCAUUUUCUGCUGGUUCGUCCCUUCUCCCUGUGUUGCUGACAGCUCAAUCAGCCUGUGUUGUAGUUAUACUGGAGUUACUGGUUCUUUUGCUGGAAUGAAACGUUCAAAGGAAACUCAAAGGUGAGACUCACAUUCCUGGGUUUUUCUUUCAGGCUUCUUUCAAUGAGCAGAGUUUCUACUUAAUAUGUUUGUGGUGGAUCAUAAAUUUGAUUAGUUUUGGAGUUGUACAUCUCUGUUCCUUAUAUUUCAUGUCAUGCUUUUAUUAUUGUUUUAUUUGUUGUUUUGACUGUUUUGCUCUAUAGAAUAUACAGUGGGAAGGUAGAGGGAGAUAAGUAGUGAAAGUUUUGCCUGGGUUGAUUGUGCGUCAAUCCAUUGGUAAUGCCUCAGGACUCCAGUAGGUGGAUUCACGCAUCUUCUCCUUCACUCAAUACAGACGAGUGAGAGCGAGAGCUGCGUGUCCGUUCCAUUCUUUCACCUCUCCUCACUAUUUCCCCUGUUUAAGGGCUCAGCAUGUUUGAGUGUUUCUGUUAGUACCUUUAUCAGUUUUAAGGAAUAUUCAAAGCAAAGAUAAAUGCACAUUUAUGAAGAGUAGCUAUUCUGAUCACAGUGUGUCCUGAUUGACCAAUUUAUUACACAUUUUGCAUAUUUACUGAGCCAAUCACAUUGCAGCAGCUCAGUGCUGUGAGACGUAACAUUUUCACAAUGUUUGAAUCUAUAUUUCACACACAUGUGCAAAAAACAAACAUUUGGGAUCAGAGGGCGGGGCUUACUUUGUGUGUCUAACAAAAAAGAAAACACAUAGGUCACAUCAGUCAAGGCAACAAUGAAGGAAACAUCUCUGCUCUUUCUGACUCCAGUGCUUUGCUGCACAACAAACCAAGCUACACCUCCACCUGCAGCCACAGCUCCAUCUGCAGCCACCUCUGCAUUGGCCUCUCUGGAUUUUUACUCUCUUCUCCCCAUGGUGGUGACUGCUGCGUUGGUCUGUCUCGUGGUUGUAGUGGUGUUAAUGUUUCUUUUGAUGGAACAAACCAGUCACAGUCAACUUGAAGAGAGGACAGACAACAUCAUUUAUGGAGAAAUCGUCACCAAAGACAAGCAACACAAAUCAGCUAAAAGAGAGUUUCCAAGAGAGCCAGACGUCAUCUACUCUGAAGUGAAGCAUUUCACCAGUCCAGCCACUGAGAUCCAGCUGCAGGUCUCUCACAGUCCUCAAAGCACCUGAUGAAGAUUUUUAUGUGAAGAACCUGCAAAAACAAAGAAAUAAACAAAUGUGCCUUCAGCAACAUGUAGUUAAGCGAGAAUAUAACUAAUAUAUUAAUCUAAUGCUGUGUAUUUAAUGCUAUUUAUAUAUUUUAUUUCUAAAUGUGGGGCCCUGCUGGUGUCUUCACAGCAGUAAUUUGGUUUCUCUGCAGGAUCAGUAAACUUUAGUCUCCCUUGCUGUUCUUCUCAUGUGGCUUUGUGAGUUUCAUAAAGACGUCUGAGAGGAAACUAUGAAUAGUUACGGCCAACAGAUACACACCUCUGUUUGGAGCAGAUAACAAAGAAAGAAACAAUCAAAACUUGACUUCAACUGCAGACUAAAGCAGGAAUCAUUCAAAGCUGGAAAAUAAAGACUGAGAACAAAGUGUGUGAGUUUGAAUAACUUUGAUUUGAAGAAAUUAAAUAUUAAAUAUGUGAGACUUUAUUUUCAGGUCAUUUGCGGCUUGUCUAGAGUCCUCGCUUGUUGUUGUUUUUACUGUAACAUACUAAACAUGCGCUUUUUCAGUCCAAAGGUUUUCAAAUUGGGGUUUCCAAACAGGCAGAACAACCCUAACCUUGUAUGAGUUGCCAAAGACCUGAUAGCUGUGAGGGGGUAAAACUGAUCAAGUGGGGACAAAAAGAGAAAUGCUUCUUCACAUCUGUCUUUAGUUCUUUUAAGCUAUGUAUUGGUGCUGUUUAUUCAGUUUAUCCUACUGUAAUAAAUGCUCACUUGCAGGAGUCAUGUGUUUGUAGAAAAAUGAGCUGUAAUGUGUUCUGGGAGGAGUGAAAUGCAGUUCAUGAAUGUGAUAUUUGCCUGUAAGCUUUAUACAACUGUGUCCUUCUGUUUAAGUGUGAAAUAAAAUGAAUAUGAUGAUAAAGUGA